rnacentral:rRNA from 1 species
CCCUUAGAUGUUCUGGGCUGCACGCGCGCUACACUGACGCACGCAACAGGUGCCCGCUCCGAGAGGACUGGGUAAUCAUUUGAGUGUGCGUCGUGAUGGGGAUAGAAUAUUGUAAUUAUUACUCUUCAACGAGGAAUUCCUAGUAAGCGCCAGUCAGCAGCUUGCGCUGAUUACGUCCCUGCCCUUUGUACACACCGCCCGUCGCUCCUACCGAUGGGUGAUCCGGUGAAUGAUUCGGACUUCAGCGGCUCCCCUGGGGUGCGCCGGAGAAAGUUUUGUGAACCUUAUCACUUGGAGGAAGGAGAAGUCGUAACA